AAGAUUAACAUAGUUAGGCUUCUAACCUAAAAUUAAUGAAAAUUCAUUUAAUCUUU
rnacentral:tRNA from 1 species